rnacentral:rRNA from 1 species
UAGUGUAGCGGUGAAAUGCGUAGAUAUUAGGAGGAACACCAGUGGCGAAGGCGGCUUUCUGGACUGUUACUGACACUGAGGCACGAAAGUGUGGGGAGCAAACAGGAUUAGAUACCCUGGUAGUCCACACCGUAAACGAUGAGCACUAGGUGUCGGGGUCGCAAGACCUCGGUGCCGCAGUUAACGCAUUAAGUGCUCCGCCUGGGGAGUACGUACGCAAGUAUGAAACUCAAAGGAAUUGACGGGGACCCGCACAAGCAGCGGAGCAUGUGGUUUAAUUCGAAGCAACGCGAAGAACCUUACCAGGACUUGACAUCCCUCUGAAAGCCGUGAUAACGAUCGGCCCUCUUCGGACAGAGGUGACAGGUGGUGCAUGGUUGUCGUCAGCUCGUGUCGUGAGAUGUUGGGUUAAGUCCCGCAACGAGCGCAACCCUUGCUGUUAGUUGCCAUCAUUCAGUUGGGCACUCUAACGGGACUGCCGGGGAUAACUCGGAGGAAGGUGGGGAUGACGUCAAAUCAUCAUGCCCCUUAUGUUCUGGGCUACACACGUGCUACAAUGGUCGGUACAAAGAGCAGCAAGACCGUGAGGUGGAGCAAAUCUCAAAAACCGAUCCCAGUUCGGACUGUAGGCUGCAACUCGCCUACACGAAGUUGGAGUUGCUAGUAAUCGUGGAUCAGAAUGCCACGGUGAAUGCGUUCCCGGGUCUUGUACACACCGCCCGUCACACCACGGAAGUUGGGGGUGCCCAAAGUUGGACAGUAAAUAGUUUACCUAAGGCAAAACCAAUGACUGGGGUGAAGUCGUAACAAGGUAGCCGUUCGAGAACGAGCGGCUGGAUCA